UACGAGGGGGCAAGCGUUGUUCGGAAUUAUUGGGCGUAAAGGGCGCGUAGGCGGUGCGGUAAGUCUGUGGUGAAAGCGCCUGGCUUAACCGGGCGAGGUCCAUGGAAACUAGCGGUCUGGAGGCCGGUAGAGGGGGUGGAAUUCCGGGUGUAGUGGUGAAAUGCGUAGAGAUCCGGAGGAACACCAGUGGCGAAGGCGGCCCCUGGGCCGCGCCUGACGCUGAGACGCGAAAGCGCGGGAGCGAACGGG
rnacentral:rRNA from 1 species